rnacentral:rRNA from 1 species
AGGCUUAACACAUGCAAGUCGAACGCCCCGCAAGGGGAGUGGCAGACGGGUGAGUAACGCGUGGGAACAUACCCUUUCCUGCGGAAUAGCUCCGGGAAACUGGAAUUAAUACCGCAUACGCCCUACGGGGGAAAGAUUUAUCGGGGAAGGAUUGGCCCGCGUUGGAUUAGCUAGUUGGUGGGGUAAAGGCCUACCAAGGCGACGAUCCAUAGCUGGUCUGAGAGGAUGAUCAGCCACAUUGGGACUGAGACACGGCCCAAACUCCUACGGGAGGCAGCAGUGGGGAAUAUUGGACAAUGGGCGCAAGCCUGAUCCAGCCAUGCCGCGUGAGUGAUGAAGGCCUUAGGGUUGUAAAGCUCUUUCACCGGAGAAGAUAAUGACGGUAUCCGGAGAAGAAGCCCCGGCUAACUUCGUGCCAGCAGCCGCGGUAAUACGAAGGGGGCUAGCGUUGUACGGAAUNACUGGGCGUAAAGCGCACGUANGCGGAUAUUUAAGUCAGGGGUGAAAUCC